UAUGCUGCAAGGUAUGUUUUUAUUCUAACAUGAUCCUUUCCUAUGUUUUUAACUUUUUAUUCUAACAUCAUCCUUUCCUCUAUAUUCAGCAUAUACCUCCUGUAUACUUAUGAGCCAACCCCCUCUUUGGCUUUCUUCUUUCAUGUUGUUUGCUGUAAUGUCCCUUAAGGGUCAAUUGCAUAAUUUUUGCUCUGCAUUUGGAGUAGUUAGCACCUGAAAAGGGCUUCUUUCCAGUGAAUCCUCUUGAUCAUGACAUUUUGUGAGUUUUGGAUUUGAUAUUUGAAUCAG
rnacentral:misc_RNA from 1 species